GCUGUGGAAGCUUUAUUCUUUCGCCCUUUGCAAUAAGUCUUGCUGCUGCUUACUCUGUGGGUCCCCACUGCCUUUAUGAGCUGUGCUACUCACCGUGAAGGUCUACAGCUUCACUCUUGAAGCCAGCGACACCACAAACCCACCAGAAGGAAUGAACAACUCCAGACAUGCCGCCUUAUGAGCUGUAACACUCAUGGGGAAGGUCUGUAGCUUCACUCUUGAGCCAGCGAGACCAUGAACCCACCAGAAGGAAGAAACUCUGAACACAUCAGAACAUCAGAAGGAACAAACUCCAGACACGCCGCCUUUAAGAACUGUAACACUCACUGCGAGGGUUUGCGGCUUCAUUCUUGAGGUAAGUGAGACCAAGAACCCACCAAUUCCGGACACCAUGUUGGUCAGGCUGGUCUCGAACUCUCCCUCUGCCCCACAGAGUGCUGGGAUUCAGGCAUGAGCCGCCAGGCCCUUAACUUUUAUUCCAAAAAAAUUUCAGUUAAAACUUCCAGUACAUAGUAUUUGCAUGGCAGGGACCCUGAAGUGUUUGUUAAAUGAAUGUCACAUAUAUCACAUACUGUGAUAGGAAUGAAGUCAUUCGUUUGAAAGGUUGAUAAAUACAACGAUAGACUGCUAGAACUUCAUGAGUCUUAAGAAUAUCUCACCAGAUCUCAUCUUCCAGAUUUAAAAAGGGGGGCACAGACUUCAGCGGGAAGGGCUGAUUUAACGACAUCUACUAUAAUGUGAGUCUGGGCCACACUCUGGUUUUCCAGUUUCAGUAAUGAUGCAUCACUACUCUUGAAAAACCACCAAAAACCAACAAGUAAGCACCCAAAAAGAUGUUUAGGAAUUCAGAAGUACUCUUUUUACUCUAGCCUUAAAAUUACUUGCUUUUGCAUUGUGGAUUACCCAUCAACAAUGUCCAGUCCUUACCAGGAGUCAGGGAGAGCGUCAAAUGCUGGGGAUACUGAAAUGACCUUAACCCAGUACUUGGCCACCUACAGGACACUGUAAUGGAGAGCAAAGCAGGACAGAGGAAAAGCAAAACACAAAAACACCAAAAAAUUGGAAAUCUUUGGAGCCAUUUGCCUUCUAGAACCUUAAAGGCACUCUAUAGUCCCACACUAUAGAAUAUUGGAAGAGCAGUCGGCUGUAAGUCUGAAUCAUGAGUUCCUUAGCUUUUUUCUACCCAGUUCAAUUUUGGGAACUUCCAAGCCCUGGUACUUUCAUUGUUUGUGAUACCCAACACCCAGCACAAUGCGGAGCGCACAGUAAGGUGGCAGUGAAUUCAUCAAUACUUUCAAAGUCUAUUUUAUCUACAAGGACAAGUUUUAUUGUAUGUUUCCUUUUAAAUAAGUGCCACAGUCGCAGUAAGUGAAAACAUCCUCUCUGACACCACCCCAGCGGCCCCCCCAGCUCGUGGGCCUCCCCGCAGAGCGCGCGCCCGUGGGGGUAACCGGCGGAAAACUAGGGACGCGGGCACAGCCGCAGACUGGGCGUGGGGGGCACCGGAAUGGCCAAGCCUGGGACGCUGGGACCUCCGGCCGCCGCGGGGCGACCAGGCGGGCGGAGACGUCUCGCGCCCUCCCGGGCUGCGCGGCUCCGGGCGCAUUCCUGCACCCUCCUCCCGCGCGCCGCGCUGCGCUGCCUCCCCCGGACAGCUGAUUCAUUGGCUCGGCCGCCCAGACUGCCUGGCGCCGGCUGCGUGACGUCACCCAUUCACGGAGCCCGCCUCCCCCCUCCGCUGGCGCCGGCCGGGCGGUCGCCCUGACAACGCAGACGCCAGCCCGCACAAUGACUUCCAGCUGGAGCAGCCCAGCCAGCCUGCGCGCUCACUCGCUUGCUUGCGCUGGGCUUCAGGGCGCCCGGAUUUCUUGCUUCAAAACAGCUGCAUUUUUGGAAGAAAGUCCACAACUGACAACUAAGCAAAACCCUCCUGGUGGAUAGCAUAAAUCUGCUUUGUUGAAGCUGCUCAUUUGUCUGAUCUAUGAGUCCAGAAGAUGCAAACUCCCUUCCCAGCUUAUGCAAAAAUACUUCCAGUAAAAACAAGCCCUUUGGCCCUUUUCUUUUGUCAGUCCAGAUUUCAGCAUGUUCUUCGCUUUGUUAUUCAUCAUUUUAUGUAUUUGGACCCAUCCUCAAACAGACUUUAAACCGUUUAAAGGCAAGGAGGGACUCUUUCCUAAACCUUUAAUCCCCUGGCCCAGCUGAGUAGAUGCACAGUGUCUUAUGAUGAUGGUGAUAUAGAAUGAUUAAUAACCACACAAGGCAUUCGGUUGGUCAAGUCACUGUUUAUUGGCUCAAAAUAAUCCUUGGCUUCUAUAUGUCUACAGCUCACUUCCUAAACAGUUAAAUCCAGAGAGUCUAAUAGAUAAUAGUUGAUGAUCAUAAAUAUAAAUAACCAAUACAUUAGAAUGUGUAGUCAAAAUAGGAAUACUUGCUUUUCACUUAUUUCCCACGGGUCGCUGCUGGUGGUAGUCAACACAAAUAAAAAUUUGAACUCAUUUUGUUGUUCAUCUAAAAUGAGAAACUCGGUGAAACAUUGAUUUUCUAAAAUUGCUGCAUAUUUAAAUGUGAUUGUAAUUGCUUUUUAGCAUUUUAAAAUUGUAACAUCGAUACCAAAUGCUGAAGAAUCUAAAGAAUAGUUUAUUGGGGCUGGCCUUUUUUGUGUAAAAUGGUCUGUAUCAUAAUGGAUGACUGAUUAUCCCAUCCACAUUAUUUGGAUUCACUUAAUACUAGGUUUUAACAUUAGGAGAAUAAAACCCUCAAGAAACCUAACAUAGAUUUGUAUAUUUAGUUUUCUCCUUCCUUAUCUUCCACCAGACUUACAGGUGUUCCACCUGCUUGUAGUUUCGGUAAUAAUACCAGCUGGCGGUGGUUCCUAACUCUAGCUACACUUUAAAAUUACUUCGUGCAUUUAAAAAAAAAAUGCAGUUGUUUAGGUUCUUCCCCUAGAUAUUUUAAUUUACAAGGUUUGGGAUGUGGCCUGGGCAUCGAUUUUUUUAACUUUUUAUUUGAAUAUAGACUUACACGAAGUUGCAAAGAUAGUACAGAGAGGUCUCAUAGAGCCUCCACUUUGCCUCCACUGUUGGUUACAUUCCGCAUAGCUGGAGCACAAUAAUAAAGCCACGACAUUGACACUGAGAUAAAAUGUGCCUGUGAUUCUGUGUCACCUUAUCCCUGAAGACUCUUGUAAAAAUUACCGCAAUCAAAAUACAAACUAUUUCAACACCACAAAGAUCUCUCUCAUACAGUCCCUUUAUGGUCGUCCCUUUCUUUCCCCCACACCAUCCCUAACCCUUUGCAACCAUCAGUCUGUUCUCCAUUUCUAUAAUUUUGUCGUUUGGGGAAUGUUUUAUAAAUUGGUCCUCACAGCUUGUGACCUUCUAAGAUUAGCUCACCAUCCCCCCCACCCUACCCAACUCAGCAGAAUGCCCUAGAGAUUUAUCCAAGUUAUUGCAGGUAUUUCUAGUUUGUUCCUUUCUGUUACUGAGUUCUACACUAUGGGUGUAACACAGUUUGUUUAAUCAUUCAGCAUUCACCUAUCAUACAUUUUGGUUCGUUCUUUUUUUUUGGCGGGGGGGAGUGCCUAUUACAAAUAAAACUGUCUUGAAAAAUUGCUUGCAGGUUUUUCUGUGGACCUAAAUUUUCAUUUCUCUGGGAUAAAUGUCCAGGAGUGUGAUUGCUGGGUCAUAUGGACCCUAUUGGACAGUAACAACAACAACAACAGAAAAUCUCUUCUGCCUGUUUAAUUUACUUGGAGGCAUUUGCAGAGGAAAAUUGGGAAACAGGUCUGACCACCAUACUAUUGCCUGCAGAUGAAGAGGAGCAACAUAUUGUAUCCUGUGUUGCUCAAGAGAGCAGAAUUAGGACUUAGAAUAGCCUUCUAAGAAUUGCUCUGUGCCACCAAAUGGGUGGCAGACUUCUAGACAAGUUUUCUAAACUUGUCAGCCUCAACUACAAGUCAGCUGGUGACAGAAAACAAACAUUGCUAUCCAGGGGCUUUUGCUUGUCAGCCUUAACUACAAGUGAGCUGGUGAGAGAAAACAAACAUCACUAUCCAGGGGCUUUUGCUGGACUUACUGAAUGUAACAGAGAUCGGAUUGGAUUGUCUCUAAUGUCUGUUUCAUGAAUAGAGUUCUGUAAAUAGUCUGUCUUUUCUGAGGCCAUUGUAUUUUCAGUAUUCGGUCGUUUAGUUGACUGAAAGUGUGUAUUCUGUAAAGAGAGAAAGGGAUAGGGAGAGAAAGGAGACUGUCACUUUUAUCUUCAUGUCCUUUGCUCUCCGACAUGCAUACUCCACUUCUAGCUCUUACACUCAAACAUCUACACUUGCAGCUUACUGUAGAUGCCACUGUCCUUUUCCACAUUUGCACAAGUAGAUUUCUCACUCCCAACCCUUAUUUUGAAAAUAAGGUGUUUGUACAUCUUUCAUUUUAUUUUUAAAAAUAAAAGUUGGACCACUGUUUAGAUAUAUUAAUCACUUUUCCCAAAACUCAUGUUUGGUCAUCUAAAAGCCUGUGUCUAAAAGUUGUGAGGAAUAGUUGAAGCUUUCAUCAAUGUAAAGCUUGGGUAAUACUCCACUGCCAAAAGUAGUUAAUUAAUUUCUGCAGAGUUAAGGUAGUAGAAAUGGGAGCUCUCAUCUGUUUUGAGAAAUGUGUACAAAAUUAAUGUUUUCCCAGAGAAGCAUUUUCCAAUGUCUCCAUCUAAUUUGGCUCCAUUCUGAAGAGAAGCACAAUGAUGCUUCAGCAACUUGAAAUUUUACUAAGUGAACUAACUAAUCCUGCCUUUGAAACAGUGGACUGGGGCUCAAAAGACAAGCUUCUUAGACUAAUACUGGGCACUUUCUCUUCUCUCACUCUCUCUUUAUUCCCUUUUCUUUCUCCUUCUCUUGUUCCAUCUUUUCACUUUGGAAACUGUUAGGUUUCAAAAAUGCAUCUGUAGCUGUUUAUUUUACAUGUGUCUGAUUUUAUGAGUUUAUGGGCUCCUGAAAAUUAAUUUUAAAUGAGCUUUAAUUACUAAUGCUUUGGGCCAUUGCCUUUAACAAAGUCAACAUAACAAUCAGGGUUACCUUAGUUUGUCUCUUUGAAGAAUGUAGUCAUUCAUUUGGGCUCUUAUUGAACAGAGCAGCUUUCUAACUGGAAAAACAAAUAAAUAAAA